GUGUGCAAUCAGAGGUGGCUUCAGACUGCCUGGUAAGAUAUCUCAAUCAUCAUGAAGACUACCAGGAUUUCAAUUGUUAUCCUUCCAUGGAUUCUCUUGGCUUCUACUGGAUACGCCUGUGUUUUGGAAGCGAUAACGACAGCAGAAGUCUGCAAAGAGAUAGGUGCCGUUUGUGUCCCUGGAGAUGAUUGCAAGUCACUUUUCGCCCCCCAGGGAACGUGUGGUGAAGGCAUCUUAUGUUGUUUUCUGUUUAAUGGAGAAUAGCCAGCUGUGGAUAAAUGAUGGAUUCUUUUCUUCAAAGAAAUAAAAAUGGUUUAAUGCAUUUGUAAUCCAUUAUGUAACCCCAUGCAAAAAUGUGUGUGAGAGAUAAACUCCAUUUGUUUUUCGUUUGUCAUUAGUGUCAUCAUCCUUUUAUAGUUUUCGACAAGUGUAUCCUCCUUGUAUUAUAAAUUUUCUGCAAUCAGUGAUUUACCAGUGAUAGCAAAGUGAAGUUACUCUCCAUGCAAGCCACAGCCUCAGCAUUGAUCUCUGAAGGCAUGUCAAAGUGAGGGUCAAAUUACACAUUAAAGAGAAUGCAUGUUCC